rnacentral:lncRNA from 1 species
GGGAAGAAUGACUUAGGCAGCCCCAAGAGCCUCCCUCCUUCCUGCCCACAAGGCCCAGUUUCCCCAUGAUGAUUCAGGCCCUGGGGUGUGGCAUGCACCACUCUGGGAGUUCCUCUUUCUAAAAAUGCUACUCUUUAGAAGUCAUGCUGUCCCUACAUGGAAACCCUUCUAUGCUCCCCGUGGUCUGCAGGAUCAAGUCCAAGCCACGCAGUGAGUGACGAAGCCUCGGUCCCUGUGCCACCUCGGCAGCCUCAGCCCCUCUGAGAACGCCUGGAGACACAGCCUGUCCUGAGGGCAGGGCCUGGCUCACCGAGGCCUCCCCUCCCCUCAAGCAGAACUUGCUGCUCCCCAAAGAUUCCACCCCGCAGGCUGCGGCAAGCUCCAGGAUGGGACAGCCCCAGGGACUGAGUUUCCUGCCAUCAGCACCUCCACCUCGUCACAGGAGGCUCUGAAGACGCUGGGCCAGGCCAGCCUGAGGCAGGGGCCCCUAGGAUGGCAGAGGCUGCUCCAAGGAGAGAGUGGCAGAGUGGCAAGCACCUUAGCCCCAGACAUGUGGGAAACCGAGGAC